rnacentral:rRNA from 1 species
AGCGAACGCUGGCGGCGUGCUUACCACAUGCAAGUCGAGCGGUAAGGCCCUUUCGGGGGUACACGAGCGGCGAACGGGUGAGUAACACGUGGGUGACCUGCCCUUAGCUCUGGGAUAAGCCUGGGAAACUGGGUCUAAUACCGGAUAUGACUCCAUGACGCAUGUUGUGGGGUGGAAAGCCUUGUGCGGCUGGGGAUGGGCCCGCGGCCUAUCAGCUUGUUGGUGGGGUGAUGGCCUACCAAGGCGA